AGGGAAACCUUUACCUCAUGUCUUCAUUCUUUACCUCAUAUCUUCAGGCACUUCUCCAUGUCUUUUCUUUUUGGCUUUCUGAUCCCGUGUUCCCUUCUUUGAGUCUUUUCAUGAAGACUGGCCUUGGAUAUAGUAAGGAAUCGGGUCUACAAGACAUGAGAAGCAGGCCAGUAAACACUACUCCUCUUUCAAGACUUCUGCAUCAACUCCUGACACCAAGUCCUCAUGACAUUCUUCAUGAUGAACAGUGACGCUGACUGUAAGCCAAAUAAACGUUUUCCUUCCCCUGUAGCUUUGUUCAUAGUGUUACGUUACCGCAAUAGUAACUAUAACUAACAUGAACAUACUCUCUUUUCUACCCUCUCCUUUAUUAUUCUACGCCCAAAAUAAAAGUCCACAUUCAUUCCACUUGAGUCCUUCUUCUGUACCCCAGAAUCCUGCCCUGGAAAUUUAAGACACUGAUGAGGCUCUUAUCUUAUCACUGACCCCUGCCUGUCCCCAGCUGGCCUAUUUUAUUAUUCAGUUUCCAUAAUCACACACAGCUGUGUGUAUGUCUGUUCUUUAGGCAAAGGCUCCAUUCAAAGGGCAUGGUUUCUGAGCCAGUCUACUCACUGCAGAGCAAAGUAUGAGUGUAAGCCAUGGACACAUGCAGAGAAACCUCUGUUAUGAAAAAAAUAUUAUGCAAUAUUUGUUUUUCUCUCCUACUUCAUUACUCAGCCUUAGGCCAGAGAGAAGCUUAAAGGAUGCAGGUUGGUCAAGAACUUUAUGAAAGCUGAGAGCACACAUUGCAAUCACAAAAUGUUCAAGGCUCACAAAGCUUGCAUAAUUACACCGUCUGCUUGGGCCUUCCGGCACUUUUCAGCUAUAAUGGCAAUCUGGCUAAUUUCCCACUGGCUCAAUCUAUAACUUCAAAGGCUCCUAACGCAGUUACAAUUAUUCUGUGUGUUUUUCAGGUGACCUACACUAUUCGUAUUGAACAGCUAACUUCUCACAUGGGUGAAUAAGAAAAGUUCGAGUUUAAUAAAGAUUUUCUCACCCAAAAA